rnacentral:sRNA from 1 species
GCCGUAUCGGUUAGAUCGGGAUACUCAUCAAAUAAUUCAAGAAAACCGAGAAAGCAUCUUUUGCCAAUGGCGGGCCACGCCCCUCGGGGUAGCUGAAAAGCCGGUGGAUUACAAAGGCGGAGAGCUCUCAAAUCAUAUAUGCUCGGAGUUUCAUCACAUCACGGUACGGCCCAUU